rfam:Prevotella sp. S7-1-8 contig131, whole genome shotgun sequence.
GAGAGCCGUAUACUUGGAAACAAGUACGUACGGUUCGGCGGCGAGUACAUUGAAACCUGCUUCCAUAAAGGGAAGCAAGGCGCAUUGUGCUUAGCCAU